GGUUGAUCCAGGUAUACAUUUGAAACAGGUUCUCCUCGGUGACGUGACAGUCGGAACGCAUCUGCAUAACCAUGGUUACAGGGGGACGCUUUGGAGCUCUGCUGCUCAGCAGCAAAAUAUUUCAGAUCAAUAUGUAAAUACUCCAACUCUAAAACCAAGUAAAAUAAAUAUGCUGCAUAUGUGUAUAUUGCGUUCAUGUGUGUGUGUGCGCUGCGUGGUAACGUAGGCGCGUGCAUGUGUGCCCCUGUCACAGCUCCUUUCAGCAUGGCCGGAGGUAACUCACUGCCACUUUGCUCGCAGCUAAUUAAAGUUUGUUCAGAUCCCAAGCUGCAAUGUGAAUACAGCCAAACCGCCGCGUUUUUGUUUGUCAUUAAGAGACUCAUUCGGGAUAAGUUUUGUGGAGGGCGGAGUUCACUAAUAUACGCUUAUGAGUUUUAGCCGAGAACGCAGCUAAAAUGCUAGCAUGCUAAGUUAGCCUGAUUGCUAGCGGCUACUCGCGGCAGUCUUUUUUUAACAGCAUGCACUCUUUUUUCCUUCGUCAGGAGAGGUGUACUGGCAGUCGCGUGACACACACAGAUCAGACACAUAUUUCUGUGUUGCAGAUGUGCAGUAAAGAGCCAAAGACCCAGUACUGUCUCCUGCCUCUUACUUUCACGCCAGAACACAACGCAAGAACAACAGGCGUAACACAUGAACGGGUUACACAUACUGAGUGAAAAGCUCACCUGAUGUAGUGGUGAGGCCAUGUUCACCACUAGAUGGAGACAACCUGGCACAGGCCUCCUCCUGUUUCACUGCCAUAUAUCCACCACCAGAGGGCUCCACUGACCUGCCUGCUGACAUCACAGCACACCCCUGUGUCAUGUGACCUGGCAGGAGUAGCAAAGCUGGACUCAGACCUGGCCCAGGCAAGUUCAAAGGCAG
ensembl:lncRNA